GAAAGUUCCUGUGUUUGAGUAUUAUGGAGAUCACGAGAAGGCAUACCGAACUGGAGCCAACAUCUCUCCGGAGAAGCUGAUGAGGGGAGAGGCCUCACUGCACCUGCCAGCCAUUCAGCUCAGUGAUGCUGGAGAGUACUUCUGUAAGGUGGUGGUCACCCCUGAGAUGGAUGAGAAAAGUGUGCAGAGUGGGAUGGAUGUUAGAGGCUGGUCUGGGGACCCACCGUGGGCUAGAGAGCUGGGCUUUGGUGGGUGGUGAGAUGACUCUGGGCAAGGUGUGAAGCCUCUGAAUCUCGGUGCCCUUGCUAGAAACAAAUGUGAUGGCAUCUGCCCAGGAGGAGUGGGGAGAGAUGGCAUGUUGGGAAGAUGCAGGUGAAAUGUUGGAUGUGCCCCUGUCUAUGACACAUAGUGAGUGGAAGACAGCAAUAGUGGUUAUUGCAUUAUUCCCACUGGGUGUGGGUUGUCAUUUUAUCUGAGCAGGUUCCUUGGGGAGGCAGCUGGGAAAGAGAGGGUUGCUAGACUGUGGUCCCCUUCAAUUUUUGUGCUUCUAAGUGAGUGAGAUAAACAUUUAGCAUCCUUGCACCUGGAUUUCCCAUUUCCAAAAAGGGAUUCUUAGGAAGAUGUUAUGCAAGAUGUGCAGUGGAGUGAGGUAUGAUGAAGCCUGACAGGACAGACACAUCCCCAAAUUC